rnacentral:lncRNA from 1 species
UUCAGUCACAACAUGUCCGGCGCUGUAUUACCUCAAAUUUUGACUGUCCUUUUAAUGUUAUGAUGCAAUUCUUUUUCAAGUGUGUGUGUUAGCUCCUUUGGUAAUGAGAAGACUUUAUAUGCGCAUAUGAACACAAGGUCAUGAGUUCAAGUCCUGUUUGAGGUCCAUUUUAUUCGUUUUUAGCUGGCUGUUGCGCGUGAAUCAAUCCGAGAACGGAAGGUGUCAAUUCUGCUCAUCAUGAGCAACCAAGUACAGGAUACAGAUCAAAGGGAUCCAGUUCAUGUGUGAGAGAAAAUGAAAGAAAUCACAACCAAAAGGGAAGUUCU